rnacentral:sRNA from 1 species
UGUGUGAUAGAGCAGGGUAGAGAAUACUCUCCAUCAACAUCAAGACUUUUCCCUAAGGACAUUUGUCCAAAAAGACAAGCUUUUGAAGCUUACAAGGGUUCCGUUCAUCAAGCCAGGAAACAGGAUGAAUGCUUUUCCUGCCUUGCAUUUCCGUCCUGCAGAAAACAGCUGGCCAGCUCAGCUGCUCCCUGCCCUCGGGACAGCCUCUGAGGUCACUGGUUGCAGCACUUCCGGUUUGUGUUCAGGAUCUUUAUCUGAGAGGCAGAAUUCCAGCUUGGUACUAAGGGACAGGCUGGUCUCCACCACACUGCACUGAGCUGUUACUCCACCCACUGCCUCUGCUGUCUCUGUGGUCUUUUCCUGGCAGCCUCAGGACUCUGAGCUGGCCAGGGCGAAUUCCUUCUGCAUUUGUCAGAAUCUUAGAAUGUCAGGGCAAGCAGAGAACUUCAUGAAGUUCUCACCGUUGCCUCUCCAUUUCUUCCUCUCUUGAGCAGACAUGCAUUAAACAUUCACUCCCAUAAGGCACCUAGACAGCAGGCAAUGUGCAAUAUCAAGCAGGCUCAAAGGGCAAUGAAUGUGCUGAAGAAGGGCUCUCAGCCUGAGUAGAUGUUUGCUUGUAUAGUCUCCAGUAAUCAUUGACAGCUUAUAUUUUGCCUGGAAACAUUUUAACAUAUCUGAUGGCCAGCUACUGACAGAACUUACUGGGUCUAUGAUUUUGUAUCUUCAUUUUCAACCAUCCUACUUUGAAACUAACUAAACUUUUUUUUUCUACUGUGGCAGCAAACUGCUGUAAAAACAGUAGCUCCUGCAGCUGGCACCAAGAGAAGUCCAAGGUAUUUGCCCUUCAUUUGUUGUCCACAUGUAGCAUCCUGUCAAGUCACAGUGGACCUUUAGGCUGACAUUGACCCUGUUAUCUACAGUGCUACUAAAGAGCUGCGUUUCUGUAGAGUUCGUUUCCUGAGAAAGCUGAAGAGAAAACGGACCUAGCUUGCUGGGUGUCAGAAGGUGGGUGAGUCAGUCACCGCACACUGCGUGGUUUUGCCUCUGGAGCUAAACACGUGGUCAUAAGGAGACUUUAUUUCCUGCUGCAGUUUGAUUCUUAACACAUACUGAGUGCCUACUACGUGCAAGGUCCCAGCCAGGCUUUCUGGGCUGUACCAGGAGCGAAGGUAAAGCCUCUACCCUCUGAAAUCACUCUGCUAACAAUAUAAAAGACAAGCUACAUGUGUUCCUGUUUAACUCUGAAAUGAUAACUUCAUAGCUCGAGUCUCUCUGGAGCCUGACUGCUACAGAUAUUUUGAUCUUUUCUGUGGGAAUUGCAGUGCCAUAGGAAGGAAGCUCUUUUCCAUAUUUUGUAGAUGUGUGUAGACUGCAGCCCCUGGGCAGAGCGAUUACAGUCUGCUCAUAUUAAUUAAUUAUGCCUAUUUCGAUGCAGAAGCUGAACAGGGAUGGGCUUGGAGCAUCAUGCCCACAGCCUGUGGGAUGCUGGGUUCCACAACAGGGUUGUUGUUCUGCCUGUGGUUGCCUUUGGCUCCCCCUUGGCAUUGAUACUUAAUUGCAUUCCAACUGGGUAAGUCUGAACCUGUCUGCUGAGCCUUCUUGGCAGGUGUGUAACCAAAUGUCCCCGGGCCUUGCCAGUCUGUGGGGGCCAAUUAGGCCUCACUUCCACUCAAAUGUUUCUUAGCUGAUUGCUCCAGCUGAGAAACUCCAGCCCGCCAUGAAUCUUUCUCAAAGGCUGUCCUUCUGGGAUAAGGCCACAGGAGGACUCAAACAUGCUCAGAAACCAUUUGUUUGUAGAUCUUGGACAUUCAAGGUUUGUUGGCUGUUGGAAGCUGUCACUAUGUUGAUACCGUGCAUCCCAGUUCCUCUGUUGGGGUUACGUCACAGCACAUGAGCUUUGCGGGUACUGAGACAUGGAGAACUGGUGACCUGAGAGAACGCUUUGGACAAUAUCUGAAUGGGAAAAGAUGGACGGCAAAUAAAUUGAUCAAUAAGAAGAUUAAUAAUAAAGUGCCUGCAGACAAUUGAUUUUGGGUGAUAUAAUGAGCGGUAUCCAGGUGAGUCCUUAGAGCACAGUACCAGGUAAGGCAUCCCUGAGGAAGUAAUAAAAUUAGAUUGAAGGAGAUCCAACCAAGCAGAGAUCAGAGGAAAGAGACUUGCAGAGAAUGUGGAGAGCAAGCAGUCUGGGAGCAGCUCGAGCUAUGACAGAGGGGGUCUCUGAGGAUGGAGUCUAGGAAAGGACAAGGCAGACUAGAAUGGGGUGGUCAUCUCCAUCCUGGGGAGCACAGACAGACGUGGGGCCACCGCAGGUCCAGCUGACUGGAUUUACUGAUAGGGCAUAUGCUCUUGAGGAGAAUGAGGGGAUCCCAGAAUCUCUAGACGACAAGACCAGAAACUCCUGCCAGCUCAGGGGCAGGUAGUCUGGACUAAGUGGUCACCAAGCUGUCUAGACAGUGGUAUGUCUAACAGGAAGGAGAAGGAUGCCUUCCCCACCCUCACUGAUAGACGAAUCCUUUGGUUUCAAAUAUUUUAAAUUACAGUCUUGAAAAGCAAAGGAUAGCUGAUUCCACAGGCUAGAAAGUCAAAGAACUUGAAAGCAGCCCAAGGAGGGUGUAGUACACUCACAUGGUCAAAAGUCCUGUUUGCCCUGCUGAACUAUCUGCCGCAGCAAGGGUGGCUGCUAAGGGCGGGGCUGGCCAGUGUGCGUGUGCCUGUGUGUGCACGCAUGCGCACAUGUGCGCAUGUGGUCUGAGAGCAGUCCAUCAGAAUUUAAAUCGUUUUACUUAAGUAUAAACCUGAAGGCCUGUUCUCAUGAAAACCCGCGAUCCAUUCUCUAAGGCCCUGAAACCCAGACUCCAAAGGGGGCCCUACUUGGUCAACAGUCACCAUUUCUCUGUGUUUGCUAAUUUCACAAUUCUGUAAAAACGUCUGAAAGGGUGGAGAUGAGAGAACAGGACCUUCUGGGAGCCCCAGGGACUUGCAGAUCCCUGCACGCCAUCAUGCAGUUAUCUCUAAAGUCUACACUGUCCCUUAGGGGUUUUUUUUUAUUGACAAACAGCACAGAAGUGACUCAAGCCUAUGUCACGAUCAUCGUUUCCAGAACUGGGAGUUCCCCUGGCCAGCCAGACACAGGAGCACUUUUUUUUUU